GGACGAGGAGGCACCUUCCUCGGUGCCUGCUCGGGGUCGCAGCGCUGGUCUGCUCCGCCGCGCCGCAAGUGCUUUAAUCUCAGGGUUCCCCGAAAAGAUGACAGUAUCAGAAUGAAUAUUUAAAGCAAUAGCGAGGAAGCAACUAAAGGAGAAGCACAAAGCAGAAAGACAACUUUUCACUUAACAGACCUCUCAUGCCACCUGCUUCCUGAUUUAUUCUUUCUUGGGUACAACUUUAACUGCAGGAGUAAGUGGACAAGAUUUGCAAUGUAAACUCCAGGGGGCAAGUGAGAAGUCCCAGGUUUCAAAAGAACUUCUCUGCACUAAAUUAUCUAGGACAAAAUCCUAUCCC